rnacentral:rRNA from 1 species
CCCUUAGAUGUUCUGGGCUGCACGCGUGCUACAAUGGCGUUUCCAGCAAGUCUGCGAACCCGAGAGGGCCAGCGGAUCUUCGAAUUGGCGUCGUGAUCGGGACAGUCGAUUGCAAUUAUUUGACUCAGACGAGGAAUUCCUUGUAAUCGCGAUUCAUCAUAUCGCGCUGAAUACGUCCCUGCCCUUUGUACACACCGCCCGUCGCUCCUACCGAUUGAGCGAUCCGGUAAAUGUUUUGGAUUGGUGCCGGGGCGGCUAGCUGCCGGUCGCUACGAAAUUUUGUGAACCUUAUCGCUUAGAGGAAGGAAAAGUCGUAACA